rnacentral:tRNA from 1 species
GGGGUUGUAGCUCAGCUGGGAGAGCGCUACAAUGGCAUUGUAGAGGUCGUCGGUUCGAUCCCGAUCAGCUCCACCA